CUGUCCCAUUUUUCUGUUCUUGUGACUUCAAGUGUAAAGGUGUGAGAACCAAACAUUAGACCCAAGGCCUGGAUCCAUGCGUAAUCCCGGGUUCUUCCAGCAGGGCGGAGACCAAUGAAUCGGGAAUUGAUUUGGAGAUUGAUAUCUGAGACCAGGCUGAAAUGCUCAUCGCUCUUGCCAUGGAAGUAGAACACAAUGCCGUCACCACCUAUGAAACGAGGAUCAAAGCAAGCAGACCCCACACCAUUGCAAUUUGUUUUACGCCCUGUUUCAUCAAUAACAAUAUAUAUUACUUCUAUUUUCCUGAUUAUUCAAGACUUUGUCGUGGUUCAUGAUCUGGAAAAUAAUGUCACAGGAUGCUUCAAAUGACCCUCCCCAAUGGCUUAUAUAGGAGGAGAGAAGCUUCUGGAGACUCCUAGAGCCAUCUACACUAAGCCAUUGGUGGGAAGAGUGUGGAAGGUUCUAGAAAUGCCUAGAGAUGUCCACACAUCUCUACACUAUGGUAGAAGGCAUGAGAAGGGUCCAAAGCUUUCUAGAGAAAUCUAGAAGUCUCUUGAAUAUUCUAGAAUAGUGUAGGACAUUCUAGAAUAUUCAUGAAUUGUAAGGAACCCUCCAAGGUUCUAGAGAGUUCCAUUGGUGCCUAUAAAUAGGUGAGGGCCUCAUUUGGCCAAGGCACCAAGCAAGUGAGCAUCCAAGCACUUGUAAAGGUUUCCUUGAGUUAGUGAAAGCUUCCAUUCUUUCAAGAGUUGCCUACCAAGCUUCUUAAGCUUUUGAGUCACGAGUGUCUUAGCCGAGCAAGCUAAGCAUUGGGGAGCAAGGCUGACUUAGCAAGAUCAAGCGUCUUGGCUUGUCUAAGUGCCGCACGAGCUUAGUGAACGACUAAGUCCGUGACAAGUGGUAUCAGAGCGCGGUUACGAGGUGGGCAUAGCAAAGGAAGCAUGUCGGGCUCUAACGUGGAAGAGACUAGUGAGCAAACCCGCGGAAGGGAGACCGAGCCUACUGCACGGGGCAGGGGUAGGAAGGAUAAGUCUCGUGAUGCCGUUGCCAACAUGGAGGCAAGGUUAGCCAAGGUGGAGCUAGCCAUGGCGGACACUCGGGAGGGGUUGGACUUGAUCGAGCAAGGCAUGGAGAAGAGCUUAGAAGAUCUAAGGGAACAGAUCCAAGACCUUCGCGAGGGGGUGCUAGUCUCACAGGUUCAACCAGUGUCGCACGAGGAGUUUGUGUCCUUCCAAGGAAAGGUCUUGAGCAUGCUUGCUAGCAUGGAGUCAAGGAUAGAGGCCUUGGCUACUCGAAUGGAGUCCCGAGACUAGGAAGUUAGGCAGGAGUUGGCCAUCUACAAGGCUGUUGUGUCGGCACGGGUCAUGGCCACACAGGAGGCAUCUAGGGUGGAGGUGCCGAAGCCACAUAGGUUUAGUGGCAAUCGGGAUGCCAAGGAGUUGGAUAACUUCUUAUGGCAUAUGGAGCGAUACUUUGAGGCUAUCGCAUUGACGGAUGAGGCGGCUAAGGUGAGAACUGCGACCCUCUACCUUACUGACACAGCUACUCUAUGGUGGCGUCGAAGGUUUGCCGAUAUGGAGAAAGGCAUUUGCACCAUAGAGACGUGGGAGGACUUCAAGAGGGAGAUCAAGAGGCAGUUCUACCCCGAGGACAUGGCUUACCUGGCUAGGAAAAACAUGAGGCGUCUCAAGCACACAGGUCCGAUACGUGACUAUGUCAAGGAAUUCUCUUCGCUCAUGCUUGAGAUUCCUAACAUGACUCAGGAGGAGUUGCUAUUCAACUUCAUGGAUAACCUGCAAGGGUGGGCCGAGCAGGAAUUAAGGCGCCGAGGCGUUCAAGACUUAGCCACUGUUAUGGCAAUAGCAGAAUCUUUAACAGAUUAUAAAAGGGGAGACUCCUUCAAGGAUGAGUCUUUGGAGGAUAGCCACGCCAUGGGUGGGGGAGACGAGGUUCCAAGGGACCACAAUGCUCCUAAAAAGGGAUCAGGCAAGACGUAUACCGUCCGAGAAGGAAGGGAUAAGGCGGAAAGGAAGGAGUUUACGCCUAAAAUCAAAUGCUUCCUAUGUGACGGUCCACAUUGGGCACGGGAUUGUCCAAAGAGGAAGGCGCUCAGUGCCAUGAUCGAGGAGAUGGAGCAGGAGGACGAAGCACAUAUGGGCUCAAUGCAGCUACUAGGUGCCUUCCAAUUCAACCCGAAAGCUAGUACGCCUGAGACCUCCUUACUAGCAGGGGUGCAAGUAAAGGAGGAAAAAGGGAAGCGAGCUGAGGUAGCCCGCACACACAUGGAAGAGGUCACCAAGGGAAAGGUGAACUCAAUGGGUAAGAGGAAGCAGCACUCUAAGCAUCGAAAGCGCACGGGUCUGCAUCCAUCUGGAGCCUCACGGGAGAAGGAGGUGAAGAAUAUCCUGGCUGAACGGGUCACCAGGAGACAAGGGGUCCCUCCUGUGAUAGAGUAUCUAGUCCGAUGGAAAGGACUACCUAAGAGGCAGGUAAGUUGGGAACAUGCGGAUGCCUUAAGAAAAUUCUGGAAACACAUCGAGAGGUUUCAGAAUGAGGCAACGACGAGGACGUCGACGGCAUCGGUGGGGGAGAGUGUCACAGGAUGCUUCAAAUGACCCUCCCCAAGGGCUUAUAUAGGAGGAGAGAAGCUUCUGGAGACUCCUAGAGACAUCUACACUAAGCCAUUGGUGGGAAGAGUGUGGAAGGUUCUAAAAAUGCCUAGAGAUGUCCACACAUCUCUACACUAUGGUAGAAGGCAUGAGAAGGGUCCAAAGCUUUCUAGAGAAAUCUAGAAGUCUCUUGAAUAUUCUAGAAUAGUGUAGGACAUUCUAGAAUAUUCAUGAAUUGUAAGGAACCCUCCAAGGUUCUAGAGAGUUCCAUUGGUGCCUAUAAAUAGGUGAGGGCCUCAUUUGGCCAAGGCACCAAGCAAGUGAGCAUCCAAGCACUUGUAAAGGUUUCCUUGAGUUAGUGAAAGCUUCCAUUCUUUCAAGAGUUGCCUACCAAGCUUCUUAAGCUUUUGAGUCGCGAGUGUCUUAGCCGAGCAAGCUAAGCAUUGGGGAGCAAGGCUGACUUAGCAAGAUCAAGCGUCUUGGCUUGUCUAAGUGCCGCACGAGCUUAGUGAACGACUAAGUUCGUGACAAUAAGCUGUAGAUCUACUAAAAUAACAGUGACAUUUAUGAACUAAUUAAACGUCAGUUAUGAAUUCAUACCUCUGCAAACAGCCUCACAUGUGAGGGAGUAACAAUCAAGAAAGCAUCCUUUGGAUUUCCCAUCUGCAGGUUGGACCUUAGGACACUCCACCGGGCAUGUCGCAUACUUCAAAAAGCAUUUGCUACAGCGGUUGGAGCAUGUCACACGCUCUGGUUUGACAGGUCAUGUUGGCUUGGCAUGCGGUGGUGGUUUGACAGGUGCCAUGUUGGCACGGCAUGCAAUGGUAGUUUGACAGGUGCUGUUGGUUUGUGGAUUUUUGGUAAAUGUAUGGACUUUUUAAAAAUUAUUUUCUAAAAUAAUGUAGAUUGGAAAAUAAUUCCAAGCACUUUUGCCGGGAGAAGUGAAAAGAAAAUAUAUUAUAUUUUAACUUUUAUAUCGGAACCUACUUCCAUUUUUUUUUAAUUUGAUUUUAUAUUAAAUGUGUUUUUUCAAGAGAUAUUUUCAUAAUUUUUAAAUAUACAAUAUACACUUAAAAGAAUUAAAUUUAAAUUAAAGGGAUCUUUUUAAGAGACAAUUUCUAUAAUUUAAAAAAUUGAAUUUAUAAUAAAAGGUGUCUCUUGAAAAGAUAAUUUGCAUAAUUCCAUAAAAUUUAAUAUAUAUUUAAGGUGUCUCUUGAAAGGAUAUCUUUCACAAUUUUAUAAAUUUUAAUUUAUACUAUAAGUGUCUUCCGAAUUUGAUUUUAUAUAAAAAGUGUCUCUUUGAAGGUACACCUUUCAUAAUUUCAAAAAAAUCUAAUAUAUACUAAAGGUGUCUCUACACCUUCCACAAUUUCAUAAAUUUUAAUUUAUAUUAUAAUUGUUUCUUAAUUUUGAUUUUAUAUUGAAGGUAAACACUUUUUACAAUUCCAAAAAAAAUUGAAUUUAUACUAAAAGGUGUCUCUUAAAGAGACACCUUCUACAAUUCCACAAAAUCUAAUAUAUAUUAAAGGUAUUUCUUCAAAAGACAUCUUCUAUAUAAAAUCAAAUUUAAGAAACACUUGUAGUAUAAAUUAAAAUUUAUGAAAUUAUAGAAGGUGUCUCUUGAAGGGACACUUUUAGUAUAUAUUGGAUUUUACGAAAUUAUGAAAAAUGUCUUUUCAAAAGAUAUUUUUAAUAUAAAUCCAAUAUUUUGGAAUUAUAGAAAAUGCCUACUAAAUAGACAUUUUUAGUUUAAAUUCAAUUCUUCUAAGCGAAUAUCAUAUAUUUAAAAAUGAUGAAAGAUGUUUCUUCAAAAACAUUUUUCAUGUGGUGAAAAUUACGUAAAUCUAUCAAUAAUUUUUCAAUUGCCAUUUUUAAAGAAUUAUUUUAUAAAGUUGUCGUAUAAGUUUAAAAACCCCCCCUUGGUUUGUCACUAGCCGCAAGUGUUUCCAUCACCACAAUGACACACAUAAAAGCAGAAUGAUGACCAUAGAUUGAAAGCAUGAUGCCCUCAUUCCCCCCCUAAUUGGCGAAAAAGAAAACUCAGAACAGUUAAGAAAGAAAUGCAAUUGAUAUGAAUUUGAUCCAUACUCUUGAUGCUUAUACAGGAUUUAGAAAAUGGAUUAAUGCUAAAUGUGGAGAACCGACUUUCUUUGAAUCCGCCGGAAAAGGAGUGGGAAACUGGCAAACAUAUUAACCAAGAUGGGCUGCGUUUGGUUUUUAAAACACUCUCUUGACCCGGUGGUAAGUAGCCAAACAUUUGCCUGAAAUUAAAGCAAAACUUGAGGGCUUCCUGUGAAGUCUUUGUUGCCUGGUCGUAGGCCCGCAGUCGGCGGUGACUAUUAAUGAACUAUGCCUCUCGCUUUUCAACCUUUGUUAGAAUAAUUUGUAUAUAUAUCCUAAUUUAUGUGUAAUUAUCAUAUUUAGACACAUUCCCACUACAUAUUGUCUUUGCUUUUGACAUUGAAUAAUGUGGUCUCACAAUCAAACAUCGACUCGGAAGUAAGCGUUCAGCCGUUCAGUGAAGGGGUAGGGCAUGGUUUGACAAAAUUUCUAAAUGCCCAUUAAUCUUUGGUCAAUUGGUCAAAUCAAUUAACCUCGUACUGCACCCACUACUAAAAGACAUAUAGGUUUGCAUUCAGUCAAAUAAGAAAAUGUAAAUUAGUAAAGUAUAUUUCUCUUUAAUUAAUCUUAACCAAGAAGUUAAAAGCCUCCAAAACUUAAUAAAAAGAAAAUUAAUUAUCCUAUAAUCAAGGCCCAUGGCUACUUACAUGUCAAAAGCAAAUUAUUUUGGUUAAAGAUUUAAAGAUUGUGUUGCCUAUAAUAUAUAUAUUUUUUUCAUAUUUAGAUCGGUCAUAAUUGAUAAACAAACUAAAUUUUCCAAAUAAUGAAAAUUUUUAUUUAAUUAUUUCUUAUCUCUAUAAUCAAUAAUAAAGUAUACACUAACUACACUACUAUCAUCGAUGUGCUUCCGUUCAUAUCAUAUCAUUUCAAUAGAAAUAAGUUAACAUGGAAGAAAUCCAAACAGCUUUGGCUUUAACAACAUCAAGGGGAUGAUAUUAGGAUUAAGGGGAGAAAAUGAAUAAGGUGUCUCUUUUAACAAAUCUUUAUAACCCAUGAUACUCAACGGAUGAUAUGUUAGGCCAUCUUAUAUUAAUUCACACCAUUAAAUUUUUUUUAGAUGAUAUUUCAUAUUUUGUUUAUGGGUUCCUAUAGACAUGGAGGAGAUAACAAAGGUAAAUAAGUCGUCCCAUGUGUUUGAUCGAAUCUUGGAAUGAGAUGCUGCAAGAGGAUUUUACUAUCUUUCACCUAGAAAUACAAUUGAUUCUGGUAGGAAAAUCAACUACCCACAUGCCUGGACUAAACUUCGAAUAAUCCAAGCUUAUUGUCUCUAAAGAGAGACCAUCACAAACCUUACUAAACCCUUAUUUGACACAGCAGUUUUACUGUGAAAAAUUUACCUUCAAAAGGACUCCAUAAAUACUAUAGUACGUACUUCAAACAAACAUCACAUAAGAGAAGAACCGAAGGCAUGCAGGUGUUCAUUUCCUGCACACUAUUCCAUUGCCGCUGCCAACCCCACCAGUGCAGUCAAGUGUGGCAUAUUCCAUUGAUAGUAAGCCCUCUCCUGUCACGUUGUUGCUGGGAGAGAACAGGCAUGACUUACAGUCUGCCGAGAGAAUAGAACUAGUCCUGUACUUGUCCGCCCCACCAACAAUAGGCAUUGCAACACCCGCUUUUGCUGUAUUGUGGAAGUUAGGUUGGUAAGUCUGCCCAAGAACUCCCUCUACUUGAGCUGACAGAUUAAAGAACCUGAAUUGUGCUUCCAAGUGGGCGAAACUGUCGUUGGAAGGUAUCUGGUAAUUGUGGAUUCUGUUAUCUUCCUCCGUCACUGGAAUCACAUUAACUAAUAUCUCUACAGCUUCUGAGAGGGUGACUGUGGCGCUGUUCUUGCUUGCAAUUCUCUCCACUUUGAGAUUAUUUUCUGGAGAUGUCCAUUCCGAGUAGAGCCCUUCUGGAAUGGACAAAGCUUCUCCAUCAUAAGAGAACUGCAAGUGAUCUUCCUUGCCGUCCCAUUUUUCAGUUCUUGUGGCUUCAAGUGUAAAGGUGUGAGAGCCAAACAUGAGACCCAAGGCCUGGAUCCAUGUAUAGUCUCGGGUUCGUCCAGCAGGGCGGAGACCAAUGAAUCGGGAAUUGAUUUGGAGGUUGAUAUCAGAGACCAAGCUGAAAUGCUCAUUGCUCCUGCCAUGGAAGUAGAACAUGAUCCCGUCUCCACCUAUGAAACGAGGAUCAAAGCAGGCAGCUCCCACGCCAUUGCAAUUUGGUUUACGCCCUGUUUCAUCAAUAAUAAUACAGAUUACUUCCAUUUUCCUGAUAAUUCAAGACAGUCAUUGUAAACAGUUACUAAAAUUUGCAAGCAUAAUUCAUACCUCUGCAAACAGCCUCACAUUUGGGGGAGUAACAAUCAAGAAAGCAUCCCUUAGAUUUCCCAUCUUUCGGUUGGACCUUGGGACACUCAACUGGACAGGUUACAUAUUUCAAAAAGCAUUUGCUACCACGGUUGUAGCAUGUCACACGCUGUGGCUUGACAGGCGGUUGUGGUUUGCCUCCAGGACCUCUUGGUUUGCCUCCAGGACCUCUUGGUUUGCCUCCAGGACCUCUUGGUUUGCCUCCUGGACCUGAUGGUUUUCCUCCUGGACCUGUUGGUUUGCCUCCUGGACCUGUUGGUUUGCCUCCUGGACCUGUUGGUUUGCCUCCUGGACCUGUUGGUUUGCCUCCUGGACCUGUUUUGGCAGUACCUGCCCCUGCUUCCAUCACCCCCAAUGAGACACAUAAUAGGAGAACUAUCACCACGGAUUGAAUGCUUGAUGCCUUCAUUUUUUCCCCCCUCUAAUAGCAAAAAAGUAGACUCAAAACAUGCAGUUCAUACGAGAAAUGGAAUUUGAUAUGAAGUUAAUCCAUAGUCUUGCUGCUUAUAUAGGAUAUAGAAAGUGGAAUGAUGCUAAAUUUUGAGAAUUGGUUUGCUUAGAAUCCACAGAAAAAGGAGUGGGAAACUAACGAACAUAUUAAUUAAGAUGGGCUGAGUUUGGUUUCUGAAGACUUGCACAGUUCCACUCGGACUGUGGUAGUGGUGGUGGUGGUAAGCGGCCAAACAAUUGGCUGAAAAUAAAGUUGAAUCAAAACUUGAAGGCAUGUAUUGAAGUCUGUGUUGUCUGGUCACUGAUCCGCAGCUGGGUGUGGACUAGUGACUGCUGAGUAGUAUUGUUCUAUUAAACAAGAAUUUAGAUCUAAAUUUCUACCAUCAUGAGAAUAAACCAUGACUUCAACCAACCAAACAAUGACUUCGAUAAUAGAUAUAUUUAUUGUCUCUUAAAACACAAUCAAAGAUUAGUUCUUUUUAACAUUUUUUUUUCUGUUAUAAUAAGCUAGUAUGUUAAAAUAUAUUAAAAAACAAAAUAUAAAAAUAAUCUUAAUAAAUAAAUUAUUUAAAUUUUAGUAAACUAGCAAAAAAAACAAGUAACCAAAUAAAUCAAUUAUUUAAAAAAUUUUGUGAAAAGAGUAAUAUAUAUAUAUUAAAUAAUAAAAAGAAAUAUGGAAGAUUAUUUUAAACAAAAUUUGAGCACGCCGAGAUGCAUCCAGAGUCGGGGUAUGGACUAAUAUGAAUUAACAUUCUAAUAUGUCUGCGGUGGGCCAUAUACUUCUUUAAGCUUUUCGAUCAACCUUUGAUAGAAUUACAGUGUAUAUCCGAACUCGACGUCGGCUUCGCUUUUGACGUGGGAUAACGUGAUCUUCCAAUGAAAUAUUGACUUUGAGGUUGGUAUGCUUGGUUUGACGUACAACUUGCUAUGGUGCGAGUGCAACUACCAAAUUCUUGUCAGAUGAUCAAAUUAAUUAAGCUCGUGUUACCAUUAAAAAGACAUUACCAUGUGAAGCCAAUAAUGACUCUGGAGUACCAAAUGUUAGGUGUUUCAACAAGAAGUUAAAACUCAAAAGCAUCCACAUGGGCAUGAUCCAAUGGUUGAACUAUUUAUUGGAACGCACCAUAACAUUAAGGUUAUGUUUGGUUCUCGGAAAAUACUAAGGAAAGAAAAAAAAAUGUAAAGGAAAAUGAUUUUUUCAUAUUUGGUUGUCAUAUGAAAAAUAUAAAAUAAAAUCAAAUAUAAUUAAAACUAAUUAAAAGCUUAUAUAUUUUUAAAUUAUUUAAUAUUUAUAUUAAUGAGUUAAAAUAAAUAAAAUGAGUUUGAAGUAACAAAAAAAAUAAUUUAUCAAUUUUUAAUCUAUUUUUUUAUUUUCCUUCACUUUUUUUUUUCCUUCUACUUUUCCUUUAUAUUUUCUUUCCCUUGCAUUUUCCUUCAAAUUUUCUGGGAACCAAACAUAGCCUAAGGAUUUAGGGAUUUACGGUUAAAAACAAUAUGUAAGUACGAAUCCGAGUUACUUGGGAAAUGUUUUUAGUUCAAAACUUGUUUUUGAAAAAAAAAAAUGGAGCCAAUUUGGUAACUAUUGUCGAAAAUAAUUUUUUGUUCUCCACAAAAAAUUGUAUACUCUUUUAGUUUUUUUAUUUUAUUUUUACUUGUUUUCUAAAAGUUAUUUUAAAAAAUAAUUAUAUAAACAUGUAGAAUGAUUAAAAAUAAAAUACUAAAUAUAAAAAUUAUUUUUAAAACAUAUUUAAAAAUUUUACAAACAAGUUAAAAAAAAUUAAACUUCCAAACAAAUUUUUAUUCUAUAAAACAUCACAUAACAAUUUUUCAAAAACUGUUUUUCAAAAUUAUUUUAAAAAAUAGUUACCAAACGUCUUUAGAUGUUUGAUAAAAUUUAAAAAAAACUUCAAAAUAUAUGAAAAAUCACUUAUGGUAUUGAAGAAUCAAUUAUAAUAUUUAUAAAAGAAAUAUUUUAAUGGAUGAUUUUCUAAAAAACAUUUUUAUUAAAAACGAAUAAAAAUAUUACCAAAAGCAUUUUAGUUCAUUAUUCUUAAAGUUCAUUGCAAUCUUAAAGAGUCUAGCUACAAUAGCAGGAUUUUCUCCUCCGCCACUUAAUUUUUUUCACAAUUGAUUUAUUUUAAAAUUUAUUAGGAAACCUUCCAAACCUUUUUUAUAGUAUGUAUUUCGCCUUUCAAAAAAUUUUAGAAGUUUUAGAGCUAAUUUGGGAUAAAUUAAAAGUCCAAUGGUAGACUUUUAUAAUAUUAUACACUGUCUUGGGUCUACAUGCAUGCAUGCACCCUUGUGUGCCUUACCAAAUCAAUCCUUCUUUAGCAUCAAGACCUUUCAUCAUAUGUUACAGGGUUUCGUGACCUUCUCAACCAAGGUUCAUGCAUAUCCCAAUGCCAACAUGCAGCUCAUGCACCAAGUUACCAAUAUCCCUUAUUGUCUUCGCCACACAACUCACAUCCAAUAUUUGUCAUGCUCCGCUCCUAGCUCCGUGCAUGCACUCCUAGGUCUGACCCAAGCUAUUGCACACUUAAGUGUGUGUAAACCCUAAUGGUGUACCUACCCAUACUAGGCCAUAGUCAUUGCAGCAACUCUGAUACCAUGUUUGAUUGAUGAACCAUGAUAAAAAUUGUAGAGGGUUUUCUAUGUAUGAGUUUCAACAAUUCUAUUGACUUCUAAUCUACUCGAUUUUUAUACAUAGAUAGAUAUGGAUGAAACUAGAGAAUUCUGAAAGCAUAGAGAACUUUUCAUAAUAGAAAGUUGUUAGCUCUACUAACUAAUUACAGAGUUUGCUAAAACUAAUUAACAACUUGUUUUAAGUUUGACAGUAGCCGCAAGUGUUUCCAUCAACCCUAUGAGACACAUAAUAGCAUAACGAUGACCAUAGAUUGAAAGCAAGAUGCCUUCAUUUCCCCCCUAAUUGGCGAAAAAGAAAACUCAGAACAGUUAAUAAAGAAAUGCAAUUGAUAUGAAUUUGAUCCAUACUCUUGAUGCUUAUACAGGAUUUAGAAAGUGGAUUAAUGCUAAAAGUGGAGAACCGGCUUUCUUUGAGUCCGCCGGAAAAGGAGUGGGAAACUAACAAACAUAUAAACUAAGAUGGGCUGAGUCUGGUUUUGAAGACACUCUCUUGACCUGGUGGUAAGUAGCCAACAUUUGUUUGAGGGCUUCCUGUGGAGUCUUUGUUGCCUGGUCGUAGGUCCGCAGCCGGGCGAUGACUAUUAAUGAACUACGACUCUCGCUUUUCAACCUUUGUUAGAAUAAUUUGUAUGUAUAUCCUAAUUUAUGUGUAAUUAUCAUAUUUAGACACAUUCCCACUACAUAUUUAGACACAUGCCCACUACUUAUUGCCUUUGCUUUUGACAUGGAUUAAUAAUGUGAUCUCAUCCAUAAUCAAACAGGGACUUGAAAGUAAACAAGCGUUCAGAGAAGAGGUAGGGCUUAGUUUGACAAAAUUUCUAAAUGCCUAAUAAUCUUUGUCGACUGAUCAAAUUAACCUCGCACUGCAGCCACUACUAAAAGAAAUAUAGGUGUGGAUUUAGUCAAACAACUAAAUGAAAAUUAAUUUAGUAUAUUUCUCUUUAACUAAUCCUUACCACUAAGUUAAAAGCCUCCAAAACUUAAUAAAUGGUGGCUACUUGUGGCCCCACUAGAAAAGGUUAAAAAGCAAAUUAUUUUCACAAAAAAUUAUUAUUUGUUUGCAAGUUAGAAUUUAAAAAUAAAUGAUAUAGUUAAUUUUGGUUAAAUAUUUAAAGAUUUUGUUGUCUCUUUUUUUUUUUUUUCAUAUCUAGAUCAGUCAUUAUGGAUAAAUAAAUAAAAAUAAUAGGCUUUCCAAAUAACGAAAAAAAAUUAUUUAAUGAUAUAAUUUAAAAGGUUUAUUAUCUUUAUAAUCACCUAAUCUAAUGACAAAGUAUACAAUAACUUGACACACAGUAAUGAUGGUCCUCCAUCCAUAUCAUAUCAUUUCAUCGAAAUUUGUUAACAUAUCGGUUGACUUUAUACAAGAAUUUCUGAACAAUCCUUACUUUUAAUAUCAAUAUAUUGUCCAUGUUUAAUUCCUAAAAAGUUUGAAAAAAAAUACAAGAAAAAGAAAAUAAAGAGAAAAAAUAUGAGAGAAAAAGCUAAGGAAAAUAAAUAAAUAAAUUUAAAAUCCAUUUCAAACUCGUUUGUUUGAAUUUUUCAAUAUAAAGAUUAAAUAACUUAAAACUUAAUGAGUUUCUAAUUAGUUUUAAUUAUAUUUGAUUUUCUUUUAUUUUUUUCAUAAUACAACCAAACAUAAAAAAAAUUAUUUUCUUUAAUAAAUUUUUUCUUUUCAUAGUACUUUCCAAGAAUCAAACAUAACCCUUAGGAUGACAAGGAGAACCGAAGAAGAUAUAUUUUUUUAACAAAUCUUUAUAUCCCAUAAUAUGUUAGGCCACCUUUAUCCUAAUUCAUGACUAUAAAAAGAAAAAAAAAUUCCUUUUUUACAACAUUUAUUGGUUAUUUACAUGGUACUCAUAUUUUGAUCAGAGUUUCUAUAAGCAUGAAGGAGAAAACAAAGGUAAAUAAAUAAAAUUUCUAAUAAAUUUGGCUAUUAAAAAUAUGAUAGAAUAUUUCUUAAUUGAUGACAACAAGACUUGAGAAUAGUUGAAGGAAAAAAAAUUAUUAAGGACAAGUACAAGUUCUUAUACUAAAGAUUUUAUAGUAAAAUUUGUCAACUCGGUAUAAAUUAUAGGCUACUUAUGAAAGAGCUUAAACCUUUUUUUAGUUAAAUUAGUGGUUGAAAAUGUAAAAACCUUUUACUUUUUCUAUUGAAAGGCAAGAUUUUUUCCUCCCUUGAGGGGGUGGCUUUCCCCCUUUUUAUAGUUAUUUUUGUUAUUGCUAUGGGCUUUUUCUCUACCCUAGGCUUGCUCUUAGUUUUUUUGUCAAUCAUGCUACGUUGCUUUUGGGCCAAGUUAUUAGAUCAGGUAGGUUAUAUUGAUUGGUGGGAGGGUGGUGCAUCUGAUUGCCCAAGGUGAAGGUCGUCUGAUUUUAUGCAUCUCUAGCUAGUGGCGUAUCAUAAUAUUUCUAUAUGAUGGUUUUUUUUCUCUCUAGGUACAAGUAUGAGGCUUGAUUAAGCCCUAAUAUUAAUAGGAAAGGUUAUGAGAUGCGACCUCAUGAUGAUGCUAAAUAUAAUAUAAUUAAUCAUGUUAAUUCUAGAAUAAGAAAUUAGUGGAGUACUUUCCAUUUAAGGCACAAAAAGAGAUAGCCAUGUAGGUGAAAUAAGUUGUCCCUUGUGUUUGAUUGAAUCUUGGAAUGAGACGCUGCAAGAGGAUUUUACAAUUGAUUCUGGUAGGAAAAUUAACCGACCAGAUACUUGGACUAAACUUCGAAUAAUCCAAGCUUAUUGUCCUUAAAGAGAGACCAUCACAAACCUCACUAAACCCUUAUUUGACACAGCGGUUUUACUGUGAAAAAUUUACCUUCAAAAGGGCUCCAUAAAUACUAUAUAUAUAGUACGUACUUCAAACAAACAUCACAUAAAGGAAGAACCGAAGGCAUGCAGGUGUUCAUUUCCUGCACACUAUUCCAUUGCCGCUGCCAACCCCACCGGUGCAGUCAAGUGUGGCAUAUUCCAUUGAUAGUAAGCCCUCUCCUGUCACGUUGUUGCUGGGAGAGAACAGGCAUGACUUACAGUCUGCCGAGAGAAGAGAACUAGUCCUGUACUUGUCCGCCCCACCAACAAUAGGCAUUGCAACACCCGCUUUUGCUGUAUUGUGGAAGUUAGGUUGGUAAGUCUGCCCAAGAACUCCCUCUACUUGAGCUGACAGAUUAAAGAACCUGAAUUGUACUUCCAAGUGGGCGAAACUGUCGUUGGAAGGUAUCUGGUAAUUGUGGAUUCUGUUAUCUUCCUCCGUCACUGGAAUCACAUUAACUGAUAUCUCUACAGCUUCGGAGAGGGUGACUAUGGCGCUGUUCUUGCUUGCAAUUCUCUCCACUUUGAGAUUAUUUUCUGGAGAGGUCCAUUCCGAGUAGAGCCUUUCGGGAAUGGACAAAGCUUCUCCAUCAUAAGAGAACUGCAAGUGAUCCUCCUCGUUGUCCCAUUUUUCAGUUCUUGUGGCUUCAAGGGUAAAGGUGUGAGAGCCAAACAUGAGACCCAAGGCCUGGAUCCAUGUAUAGUCCCGGGUUCUUACAGCAGGGCGGAGACCAGUGAACCGGGAAUUGAUUUGGAGAUUGAUAUCAGAGACCAGGCUGAAAUGCUCAUUGCCCUUGCCAUGGAAGUAGAACACAAUGCCAUCUCCACCUAUGAAGCGAGGGUCAAAG
rnacentral:lncRNA from 1 species